GAGGAAGAGGAAGAGGAAGACUUCUCGUCUGAAAAUGUUAUUACCAGACGAAUACGGAUUAACAGAGACCGCCAAGGAGCGCACGAGAAAUUGGUGAACGAUUAUUUUUCGGAUGAACCACUUUACAAUAACGAGAUUUUCAGACGCAGGUUCCGAAUGAGUUGCCGCUUAUUCACACGGAUUGCUAAUGAUUUGGCGGGGCUAGACCCGUUUUUCACGCAACGACCUGAUGCUCGAAAUUAUGAAGGGUUCACCACGUUACAAAAGUGUACUGCGGCCAUUCGCCAACUGGCGUACGGGACAGUGGCCGACGCUUUGGACGAGUACUUACAGAUGUCGGCAAGAACUACGCGGGAAUGUUUGUAUCGGUUUUGCCAUAAUGUGGUGAAA